AUGUCGCACAAACAAAUUUACUAUUCGGACAAAUACGACAACAAGGAGUUUGAGUAUCAGCAUGUCAUGUCAUGGUGCUCAAGGACAUAGCCAAGCUGGUCCCUAAAACCCAUUUGAUGUCUGAAUCUGAAUGGAAAAAUCUUGGUGGUCAGCAGAGUCAGGGAUGGGUCCAUUAUAUGAUCCAUGAACCAGAACCUCAAUUCUUACUGUUCCGGUGCCCACUACCCAAGAAGCCCAAGAAAUGAAGCUGGCAAGCCACUUUCCAGCCUCAGGCUUUACAUAGCUGUCCUUACUUCCUAACAUCUUUCUGAUGACAUUAUUAUGUUAUCUUCUUGGUUCUCACUUUGAUAUUUAAAAGAUGUUCAAUACACUGUUUGAAUGUGCUGGUAACUGCUUUGCUUCUUGAGUAGAGCCACCACCACCAUAGCCCAGCCAGAUGAGUGCUUUGUGGACCCAAAGCCUCAGCUGAGUGUGACCCCAAAAGCCACGGUGUGCUGUGUAUCCAGAACACGCUUGGCAGAUGAAGGAAGCAUCUGAGAUUAAGACCAUGGCAGUUACAGGAAUUAUGAAACUUGUUAUU